rnacentral:miRNA from 1 species
GGGGGAUUAGCUCAGCUG